UGCAUGUGUAAGUAUAAAUAAUUUUACUUUGAAACUGCGAAUGGCUCAUUAUAUCAGUUAUAGUUUAUUAGAAAUAYUUUACUACUUGGAUAACCGUAGUAAUUCUAGGGCUAAUACAUGAVUAAWUCCUCAACUUCGGAAGAGGUGUGUUUAUUAGUAUGAAAACCAUAUAUCUUCGGAUAUAAUAGUGAGUAAUAAUAACCUUUCRUAUCGUAUGUCGUAAGAUAACGAUAGUUCUUUCAAGUUUCUGCCCUAUCAGCUUUCGAUGGUAGUAUAUGGGACUACCAUGGCAGUAACGGGUAACGAAGAAUUUGGGUUCGAUUUCGGAGAGGGAGCCUGAGAGAUGGCUACCACAUCCAAGGAAGGCAGCAGGCGCGUAAAUUACCCAAUCCUGACAUAGGGAGGUAGUGACAAUAAAUCACAAUGCGGAACU
rnacentral:rRNA from 1 species